CGUAGGCGGCCAGCGCAAGUCAGUUGUGAAAUCUCCGGGCUUAACUCGGAACGGUCAACUGAUACUGCGCGGCUAGAGUGCGGAAGGGGCAACUGGAAUUCUCGGUGUAGCGGUGAAAUGCGUAGAUAUCGAGAGGAACACCUGCGGCGAAGGCGGGUUGCUGGGCCGACACUGACGCUGAUGCGCGAAAGCCAGGGGAGCGAACG
rnacentral:rRNA from 1 species